CCUCUGGCCUUUCUAAAGGCCAAUAAUUCUUAAAGCCACUCAUAGU
rfam:Pterocles gutturalis contig44530, whole genome shotgun sequence.